UACGUAGGGGGCAAGCGUUGUCCGGAUUUAUUGGGCGUAAAGAGCGUGUAGGCGGCCAGACAGGUCUGCUGUGAAAACCUGGGGCUUAACUCUGGGCGUGCGGUCGAUACGGGCAUCACUAGAGUUCGGCAGGGGAGACUGGAAUUCCUGGUGUAGCGGUGAAAUGCGCAGAUAUCAGGAGGAACACCUAUUGCGAAGGCAGCUCGCUGGGACGUUACUGACGCUGAGACGCGAAAGCGUGGGGAGCAAACAGG
rnacentral:rRNA from 1 species